CUGAAUUGCCAACUUGUGACUCUCCAGAACUUACUUCCUCUCUGUCUUUGAAUCAGGCAAUGUGCCUAAUUAUGACUACUUUUCAGAUUGUACCUUAGAGUGAGGCUCCACUAACCAGCCAGAAAUAUACACCAUGGACAAGAAAUAGAUUUUCAUUAGUAUAAGUGAGAGAGGAGACCACCUCUCUGUAUGGAAUUAGGCAACUACGGGUUAACUGUGUUAUUAGGGAACUAUGGGCUAGCUAGGUAACUAGAUUCUUUGUGGAAUGUAUCUGAGUAUCCAUGACAAUUUCUGUAAUCUGUCACCAAAGGAGCGUAACAGAAUCAGAAAGUCUUGUCAGGCCAGGAUUUAGCUCAGUGGAUCCAGCACCUGCCUUGCAAGGGACCCUGCCUUGCAAGGGAAAGGUCCCCAGUUCAAUCCCCAGUACCAAAAAACGAACAAACAAACAAAGUCCUGCCAGAACUCUUUGCUCUCCCCCUCACACACACACACACACACACCUGUUGCUCUGCUUUGUAUAAAUCCUGCUUGCUAUAUUCCAGGGAAACUCCAAUGAAACUGCCAUUUUAUAGAAUCUUGGAGCAACAGAUUGCAAUCCCAAUCAGCCGCAAACAACUGUCUUGAGGAGAUGAUUUCAUCCUCCAUGAACACCACAGAUGAGAACCAGUUAUCUCAACUCAGAGGGAAAUACCAUCAAUCCCAUAAGACUAUGGGGAAAUGUGACUGGAAAUAUCUUGGAAAGACUAUAUGGAAAGAAGACAGAACAAAAAUAAUUAUGAUCAAUAUUGGUUGGGAAACAAAAUUUCACCUUCCUUCAUGUAAGAUACUACAUUGAGAUUGUAAGCGAUACAGAUAAAUAAAAAU
rnacentral:lncRNA from 1 species